UCCUGCUGCAUUGCUGUUGACAUGGAAACCAAUACCACUUUCUGUUGCAGAGAAUUGGAAGCUAAAGCUACCAAAGAAGCCGAAAGAAAACUAAGCAGGGCUUUCCUGCCUCAUUUAUGUGGAACUGAGAGAAGGGAUUUAGUGCAAGAAGAGGAAGAACAGUUGAUGGAAGAAAGGAAAAAGAGAAAAGAAGACAAGAAGAAGAAGGAAGCUGCUCAAAAAAAGGUAUGUGGAGCACUGAGAAUAAACCCCUGUGCUUGGAGGUGACUUGUUUCAUCACUAGUAAAAACAA
rnacentral:lncRNA from 1 species